GAACGCUAGCUACAGGCUUAACACAUGCAAGUCGAGGGGCAGCAUGGUCUUAGCUUGCUAAGGCCGAUGGCGACCGGCGCACGGGUGAGUAACACGUAUCCAACCUGCCGUCUACUCUUGGACAGCCUUCUGAAAGGAAGAUUAAUACAAGAUGGCAUCAUGAGUCCGCAUGUUCACAUGAUUAAAGGUAUUCCGGUAGACGAUGGGGAUGCGUUCCAUUAGAUAGUAGGCGGGGUAACGGCCCACCUAGUCUUCGAUGGAUAGGGGUUCUGAGAGGAAGGUCCCCCACAUUGGAACUGAGACACGGUCCAAACUCCUACGGGAGGCAGCAGUGAGGAAUAUUGGUCAAUGGGCGAGAGCCUGAACCAGCCAAGUAGCGUGAAGGAUGACUGCCCUAUGGGUUGUAAACUUCUUUUAUAAAGGAAUAAAGUCGGGUAUGGAUACCCGUUUGCAUGUACUUUAUGAAUAAGGAUCGGCUAACUCCGUGCCAGCAGCCGCGGUAAUACGGAGGAUCCGAGCGUUAUCCGGAUUUAUUGGGUUUAAAGGGAGCGUAGAUGGAUGUUUAAGUCAGUUGUGAAAGUUUGCGGCUCAACCGUAAAAUUGCAGUUGAUACUGGAUAUCUUGAGUGCAGUUGAGGCAGGCGGAAUUCGUGGUGUAGCGGUGAAAUGCUUAGAUAUCACGAAGAACUCCGAUUGCGAAGGCAGCCUGCUAAGCUGCAACUGACAUUGAGGCUCGAAAGUGUGGGUAUCAAACAGGAUUAGAUACCCUGGUAGUCCACACGGUAAACGAUGAAUACUCGCUGUUUGCGAUAUACUGCAAGCGGCCAAGCGAAAGCGUUAAGUAUUCCACCUGGGGAGUACGCCGGCAACGGUGAAACUCAAAGGAAUUGACGGGGGCCCGCACAAGCGGAGGAACAUGUGGUUUAAUUCGAUGAUACGCGAGGAACCUUACCCGGGCUUAAAUUGCAGAUGAAUUACGGUGAAAGCCGUAAGCCGCAAGGCAUCUGUGAAGGUGCUGCAUGGUUGUCGUCAGCUCGUGCCGUGAGGUGUCGGCUUAAGUGCCAUAACGAGCGCAACCCUUGUUGUCAGUUACUAACAGGUUCCGCUGAGGACUCUGACAAGACUGCCAUCGUAAGAUGUGAGGAAGGUGGGGAUGACGUCAAAUCAGCACGGCCCUUACGUCCGGGGCUACACACGUGUUACAAUGGGGGGUACAGAGGGCCGCUACCACGCGAGUGGAUGCCAAUCCCCAAAACCUCUCUCAGUUCGGACUGGAGUCUGCAACCCGACUCCACGAAGCUGGAUUCGCUAGUAAUCGCGCAUCAGCCACGGCGCGGUGAAUACGUUCCCGGGCCUUGUACACACCGCCCGUCAAGCCAUGGGAGCCGGGGGUACCUGAAGUGCGUAACCGCGAGGAGCGCCCUAGGGUAAAACUGGUGACUG
rnacentral:rRNA from 1 species